rnacentral:rRNA from 1 species
GGAGGGUGCAAGCGUUACUCGGAAUCACUGGGCGUAAAGAGCGUGUAGGCGGGUAUAUAAGUCAGAAGUGAAAUCCAAUAGCUUAACUAUUGAACUGCUUUUGAAACUGUAUACCUAGAAUGUGGGAGAGGUAGAUGGAAUUUCUGGUGUAGGGGUAAAAUCCGUAGAGAUCAGAAGGAAUACCGAUUGCGAAGGCGAUCUACUGGAACAUUAUUGACGCUGAGACGCGAAAGCGUGGGGAGCAAAC